rnacentral:rRNA from 1 species
AGCGAACGCUGGCGGCAGGCUUAACACAUGCAAGUCGAGCGGGCACUUUCGGGUGUCAGCGGCGGACGGGUGAGUAACGCGUGGGAACGUGCCCUCUGGUUCGGAAUAACUCAGGGAAACUUGAGCUAAUACCGGAUACGCCCUUUUGGGGAAAGGCUUGCUGCCGGAGGAUCGGCCCGCGUCUGAUUAGCUAGUUGGUGAGGUAACGGCUCACCAAGGCGACGAUCAGUAGCUGGUCUGAGAGGAUGAUCAGCCACACUGGGACUGAGACACGGCCCAGACGGGGAGGGAAGGCAGGAGGGGGGAGUAUCGGAGGGGGGGCGCGAGCGUGCUCGAGGCAGGCGGCGUGGGUGAAGAAGGGCGUAGUGUUGUAAAGCUAUUUUAUGAGGGAGGAUAAAGGCGGGAGGGGGGGAAGAAGACGGGGGUAACUACGUGCCGGAGGCCGCGGGAAUAGAAGAGGAACCAGCUGAGGAGC